UAACCCGUGGGCACCUUGCCAAGAAGCAGGGGAUAACCCUUGGAAAAGGUUGCUAAUUCCGUAUAACAGAGAAAACCGCCUUGGUUUUCUUUUAAAAGGAUGGUUCUGCUAUCACUUCUGGAUGGACCCGCGGCGCAUUAGCUAGUUGGUGAGGUAACGGCUCACCAAGGCGAUGAUGCGUAGCCGACCUGAGAGGUAACCGCCACAUUGGACUGAGACACGGGCCAAGACCUCUACGGGAGGCAGAAGUAGGGAAUCUUCGACAAUGGACGAAAGUCUGAUGGAGCAACGCCGCGUGAGUGAAGAAGGGUUUCGGAUCGUAAAGCUCUGUUGUUAAAGAAGAACGUGGGUGAGAGUAACUGUUCACCCAUUGACGGUAUUUAACCAGAAAGCCACGGCUAACUACGUGCCAGCAGCCGCGGUAAUACGUAGGUGGCAACCGUUGAUCCGGGAUUUAUUGGGCGUAAAGCGAGCGCAGGCGGUCUUUUAAGUCUAAUGUUGAAAACUUCGGCUCAACCGAAGAAGUGCAUUGGAAACUGGGAGACUUGAGUGCAGAAGAGGAUAGUGGAACUCCAUGUGUAGCGGUGAAAUGCGUAGAUAUAUGGAGGAACACCAGUGGCGAAGGCGGCUGCUCUGGUCUGUAACUGACGCUGAGGCUCGAAAGCAUGGGUAGCGAACAGGAUUAGAUACCCUGGUAGUCCAUGCCGUAAACGAUGAUUACUAAGUGUUGGAGGGUUUCCGCCCUUCAGUGCUGCAGCUAACGCAUUAAGUAAUCCGCCUGGGGAGUACGACCGCAAGGUUGAAACUCAAAAGAAUUGACGGGGGCCCGCACAAGCGGUGGAGCAUGUGGUUUAAUUCGAAGCUACGCGAAGAACCUUACCAGGUCUUGACAUCUUCUGCCAACCUAGAGAUUAGGCGUUCCCUUCGGGGACAGAAUGACAGGUGGUGCAUGGUUGUCGUCAGCUCGUGUCGUGAGAUGUUGGGUUAAGUCCCGCAACGGCGCAACCCUUAUUACUAGUUGCCAGCAUUCAGUUGGGCACUCUAGUGAGACUGCCGGUGACAAACCGGAGGAAGGUGGGGACGACGUCAAAUCAUCAUGCCCCUUAUGACCUGGGCUACACACGUGCUACAAUGGGUGGUACAACGAGUUGCGAAACCGCGAGGUUUAAGCUAAUCUCUUAAAACCAUUCUCAGUUCGGACUGUAGGCUGCAACUCGCCUACACGAAGUCGGAAUCGCUAGUAAUCGCGGAUCAGCAUGCCGCGGUGAAUACGUUCCCGGGCCUUGUACACACCGGCCGUCACACCAUGAGAGUUUGUAACAACCCAAGGCGGUUGGGUAACCUUUUAGGGGCUAGCCGUUUAAGGUGGGACAAAUUAUUAGGGGUGAAGUCGUAACAAGGUAACC
rnacentral:rRNA from 1 species